GACAGAGGGUGCAAACGUUGUUCGGAAUUACUGGGCGUAAAGCGUGUGUAGGCGGUCCGCUAAGUCGGGUGUGAAAGCCCUGGGCUCAACCCAGGAAGUGCACUCGAAACUGGCGGGCUAGAGUACUGGAGAGGUUGGUGGAAUUCUCGGUGUAGAGGUGAAAUUCGUAGAUAUCGAGAGGAACACCGGUGGCGAAGGCGGCCAACUGGACAGAUACUGACGCUGAGACACGAAAGCGUGGGGAGCAAACAGG
rnacentral:rRNA from 1 species